rnacentral:rRNA from 1 species
AACGAACGCUGGCGGCAGGCCUGACACAUGCAAGUCGAGCGCUGUAGCAAUACAGAGCGGCAGACGGGUGAGUAACGCGUGGGAACCUUCCCAGUGGUACGGAAUAGCCCAGGGAAACUUGGGGUAAUACCGUAUACGCCCGCAAGGGGAAAGAUUUAUCGCCAUUGGAUGGGCCCGCGUUGGAUUAGCUAGUUGGUGAGGUAAUGGCUCACCAAGGCGACGAUCCAUAGCUGGUCUGAGAGGAUGAUCAGCCACACUGGGACUGAGACACGGCCCAGACUCCUACGGGAGGCAGCAGUGGGGAAUAUUGGACAAUGGGCGCAAGCCUGAUCCAGCCAUGCCGCGUGAGUGACGAAGGUCUUCGGAUUGUAAAGCUCUUUUGGCGGGGACGAUAAUGACGGUACCCGCAGAAUAAGCCCCGGCUAACUUCGUGCCAGCAGCCGCAGUAAAAC